AUGAACAGAACCCUUCCACCAUGUGCCUCAGUUUUGCCUAAAGAGAUCUGUGCAAGAACCUUCUUCAGAAUCACUGCGCCAUUAGUAAAUAAUCGAAAGGACUAUUCAGAGAGAAGAAUUGUAGGGUACUCAAUGCAAGAAAUGCAUGACGUAGUAUCAGGAAUGGAGGACUAUCAGCAUUUCGUUCCUUGGUGUAAAAAGUCAGAUAUAAUAUCAAGGCGAUCUGGAUACUGUAAAACCAGAUUAGAAGUUGGGUUCCCCCCUGUUCUGGAGAGAUACACAUCAAUAGUAACCUUGGUAAAACCACAUUUGGUAAAGGCAUCUUGUACUGACGGGAAACUUUUCAAUCAUUUGGAGACUAUUUGGCGUUUUAGCCCAGGUCUUCCUGGCUAUCCAAAAACUUGUACCUUGGAUUUUUCAAUUUCUUUUGAAUUCUGCUCCCUUCUGCACUCUCAGCUCGCUACACUGUUCUUCGAUGAAGUUGUGAAACAAAUGGUAGCAGCUUUUGAAAGAAGAGCAUGUAAAAUGUAUGGUCCAGAGACAAACAUCCCUCGGGAAUUAAUGCUUCAUGAAAUUCACCACACCUAA
rnacentral:lncRNA from 1 species